ensembl:snoRNA
AUGCCAACCAAUUGAUCUGCUUAUCUGAAUGUUUCUGCAGAAAUUUAGAGAAAACUGACAACACUGAUGCCAUUUUUUGAGCCUGGGGUCAUUUGAGCUGGGGUCAUUGGGGUCCCUAAAAAUGGCUCCAAUA